UUUUUCAUGUUUUCUUUGAAUUGCUCCCUGCCUUCUCUCUCCAUUGAAGAUGUGACGUCCUUAGCUGUCGCCGCCACCGCCGCACGAACUCCCUCCGUUGCCCUCAUCGCGUUUGCUCCCUUCGUUGCCAUCGUCGUACGACCUCUCUCCGCCAUGCUCUUGUCUUACGAGCUCUUUCCGCGCCGCUCUCGUCGCUGCUUCUUCUCUCCUCGCCGGAAUCUCUUCUCGUCGCCGUUAGUUCAGGGAAGAAGAAAGAGCGGUGAGGAGAAUUAGGUAGUUGGAGAAGGUGAGAAGAAGAAAGAGGAAAGUGUUGGUGCCACUGCUGUUGUUGGUGAUGGAGAGGAGGAAAAGAAUAAGAAGAAGAAGAAGAGUAAGAAGCAGGGGUUAAUUUCUCGAAUUUGGAACGGGAUAUUCAGAAGACGUAGCGAUGAUUUCGAGAAGAGACUGUAGUAUAUUUCCAAAGAGGAAGCUGCGGUUAUGGCCAGGGUCAAUGGGAGAAACCGGUCGUGGCGGAGAACUUCGCGCCAGAUCAUCAUAAUUUCUGUUAUAUUUGAGGUACAUUUUCCAUUGUUGGAUGAAUGGGUUUAUCUUUGUGUGUUUUUGUUUAUCAUGAAUCAUUUCUCACAUGAAUAGAUUUGUGUAUUUUAACAUGCCAUUUUAUGCUAGAGUUUCUUUGAACUUGAAGUGCGAAAAACUACAAACUACGACUCAUGAUAGCUACCUCAAAAAUCAAAUUAAAGAUAUAAAACUCUGACAGUAUAGGGAUAUGACAGAAUAGAAUGGAGUCAUCUGAUCAGUGAAGGUGACCCCCCUAUAUAGUGGGAAAAGACAUUCUUCUCUUAUUGUUUUGAAAUAUGACAAUUUGGAUUUAAACGGUUUCAUCUCCUAGACCGUUGCUGUAGGUUUUGCAAUCAUGAGAACUAGAUCAAUGGAUAUGAAUUGGAAGAUGAGAGCAAUCCGGGUUUUUUUUUGUAUACUAUAGUUCACUCAGUAUUGGUAUCAUCGCCAUGGUGGGUGUCACGCUUCUCAUGAGAUUCAGCCUCCUCCUCCUCCUACUUGCUGGAUUAUCACCGUCACUUUUAUGGCCUUCUUUUGCUGCAGAUUUUGUUAUUCCAAAAGGAUGCUUUGUAGUUCCAUUUCUUUCAGCAGUCCUUUACAGAGGAAGAAGAUGUAAAUGUAGAUGAUGUAGCUGCUGCUUUUGUAGGUGGGCAAUCUAUCGAGCCUAGUUAUACAACAAGUUUCAAUCUGUGAUAGUACGAGGCAGAUUUUCCUUGUUUGAUCCUACAAUGCCUUAUGGUCGCCAAGACGUGAUAGAGUGGAUUUGUGGGCUAUAGGUUAAAUAUUUGGAGGUAUGACAGAUUAUUAGAAGUUGUGCUUUUAAACUGGUGCAGUUCUGAUCUCUGGAAAUAUUCUCACCAUCCAAAGUACUUUGACGAGGUAGCACAAGCACAUGUAGAAGAGGCUAGCUCCAUGCGAAAGCGAUUUGACAAUGAAGAUAUUUUAUAUAUCUUUGAUUACAAAACUAUAGGAAGAUAAGAAAGCUUUGGAACGACUCACAAAGUCGAAAGAGUCAACACUGCUAGAAGCAGAGAGGAUUUUGCGAAGUGCACUAGAGAGGGCUCUAAUUGUUGAGAAAGUUCAAUAUAGCUGAUAGUUUUAGUAUGGUUGAACAAUAUACUGGAAAUUAUAGUUGAUGAUCAAUACACUUUAUUUAUGUUUUGAAUUAUAUUGACUUACUUGUU